rnacentral:rRNA from 1 species
AACCUGCGGAGGGAUCAUUACUGAGUGAGGGCUCACGCCCGACCUCCAACCCUUUGUGAACACAUCUUGUUGCUUCGGGGGCGACCCUGCCGGCACUACGUCGCCGGGCGCCCCCGAAGGUCUCCAAACACUGCAUCUUUGCGUCGGAGUUUAAACAAAUUAAACAAAACUUUCAACAACGGAUCUCUUGGUUCUGGCAUCGAUGAAGAACGCAGCGAAAUGCGAUAAGUAAUGUGAAUUGCAGAAUUCAGUGAAUCAUCGAAUCUUUGAACGCACAUUGCGCCCUUUGGUAUUCCGAAGGGCAUGCCUGUUCGAGCGUCAUUUCACCACUCAAGCCUGGCUUGGUAUUGGGCGUCGCGGCUCCGCGCGCCUUAAAGUCUCCGGCUGAGCCAUUCGUCUCUAAGCGUUGUGGAUUUUCUAAUUCGCUUCGGAGUGCGGGUGGCUGCGGCCGUUAAAUCUUUCUUAAGGUUGACCUCGGAUCAGGUAGGGAUA